rnacentral:rRNA from 1 species
GCUUGUCUCAAAGAUUAAGCCAUGCAUGUCUAUGUAUAAACAAGUAUACUGUGAAACUGCGAAUGGCUCAUUAAAUCAGUUAUAGUUUAUUUGAUAGUACCUUACUACUUGGAUAACCGUGGUAAUUCUAGAGCUAAUACAUGCAUCAAUCCCCGACUUCCUGGAAGGGGUGUACUUAUUAGAUGGAAACCAAUGCGGGGCAACCCGGAUUCUGGUGAUUCAUAAUAAUUAUCGGAUCGAUCGUAUGAUCGAUGCAUCAUUCAAGUUUCUGCCCUAUCAGCUUUGGAUGGUAGGGUAUUGGCCUACCAUGGCAUUAACGGGUAACGGAGAAUUAGGGUUCGAUUCCGGAGAGGGAGCCUGAGAAAUGGCUACCACAUCCAAGGAAGGCAGCAGG